rnacentral:misc_RNA from 1 species
CAGAGUUGCAAAACUCCCACAAACCAUCGCGAAUCUUACCCGUACGGUUGCCUCGGCGCUGGCGGUCCGGAGGGCCCUCGGGCCCCCCGGAUCCUCGGGUCUCCCGCUCGCGGGAGGCUGCCCGCCGGAGUGCCGAAACCAAACUCUUGAUAUUUUAUGUCUCUCUGAGUAUACUAUCAAAUAAGUCA